rnacentral:rRNA from 1 species
ACUGAACGCUGGCGGCAGGCCUAACACAUGCAAGUCGAACGAGUGGCGGACGGGUGAGGAAUGUAUGGGAAACUGCCAGAUGGAGGGGGAUAACUACUGGAAAAGGUAGCUAAUACCGCAUCACAUCGGCUGUGCCCAGAUGGGAUUAGCUAGUAGGUGGGGUAAAGGCUCACCUAGGCGACGAUCCCGAGCUGGUCUGAGAGGAUGACCAGCCACACUGGACCGGAGACACGGUCCAGACUCCUACGGGAGGCAGCAGUGGGGAAUAUUGCACAAUGGGCGCAAGCCUGAUGCAGCCAUGCCGCGUGUAUGAAGAAGUCCUUCGGGUUGUAAAGUACUUUCAGCGAGGAGUCGUUACUCGCAGAAGAAGCACCGGCUAACUCCGUGCCAGCAGCCGCGGUAAUUC